UGCUAUUCUUUUUGCACCACAGCAGGAUUCUUGGCUGCCAGUCCAAGCUGCUUUCACUUGCCAAGUUUUGAGAUGCUGGUUUUGCCUUUCAUUUUAUUGUUCCUUUCGCAACGUUACAGACCGACUUAAAACCGUGCACAGCUGCUAACAGGAGAAAAAUUAUUUGAAUUUCGCCCGAGAACGGAGCUGGGGAAGGAGCGCGCCGUGAUGUAACUAUAAUGACACCCAUCGAAAUGUCGCUGGAGCUCAUCCAUACCCAAGCAUCGUGGCCUUUCUGUUGACGCAACACCGCCACGAAAAGACUCAGCAUCACGGCGCAGAAGCCUCCAUCAAAAUUCAAUAAGGGGCUGCAAUUCUCUCACCAAACACAUUCAUUUAUUGUGAGCUAAGUGACUUUUUUUUUUUUUUUUAAAGGAAGGUUGCAUAAAUUGAAGACGGCAACAGACAAAACAACCUCCCCAAUGCUUUAUUUUACUUUAUUUUAUGGAACGUAGCUACCCCUCCUCCAAAAAACCCUACCCGAACUUGAUAUUCAAAUGCACUAAAUGAACCAACAAAAACAUUAUUUAUGGAUUCUUGUCAGGCUUUAAAUAGCCAGGAAAAAUUUGAUGGAAUAAAUAUGAUAUAUUUA